rnacentral:tRNA from 1 species
GGAGAGGUGCCCGGAGCGGCUCAACGGGGACCUCGGGCGCAAGCCCAAGGUCGGGUCGUACGCGGCCCACGCAGGUUCGAAUCCUGCCCUCUCCGCCA